rnacentral:rRNA from 1 species
CCUACGGGAGGCAGCAGUAGGGAAUAUUGCUCAAUGGGGGAAACCCUGAAGCAGCAACGCCGCGUGGAGGAUGAAGGUUUUAGGAUUGUAAACUCCUUUUGUUAGAGAAGAUUAUGACGGUAUGUAACGAAUAAGCACCGGCCAACUCCGAGCAAGCAGCCGCGGUAAUACGGAGGGAGCAAGCGUUACACGGAAUCACUGGGCGUAAAGAGGGCGUAGGCUGGGGAAUAAGUGAGAUGUGAAAUCCUGGAGCUAAACUACAGAACUGCAUUUGAAACUGUUACUCUGGAGUGUGGGAAAGGUAGGUGGACUUGUUGGUGUACGGGUAAAAUCCUUAGAGAUCAGGAGGAAUCCUCUUGGCGAGGGCGCCCUGCUGGGACAUUACUGACGCUGUUGCACGAAAGCGUGGGGAGCAAACGGGAUU